UACCUCUUUCCCUUUCCUUCAUUUUUUUCUCCAUUUUCCCACGUUAUCCCCAUACCUCUUUACUUCUCCUCCAUUUUUCCCACACAAUCACCCAUUUCCUGCAAAUUAUUUUUGCCAUAUAGAUGUUCGGCUAGAAUUUCAGAAUUCUGUUCGAUCUUUGCUUUUAAUGCUUUCAUGAGGAUUAGAAGAGUUUGGUGUGGGUAUAGUAGAGAUUUUUUGGCCGAUUUGGGAGUUUUUACCCAUAUAAUUUUGCUUUUUAAUUCAAUUUGGACUAUUUGUUCUUAUUGUUUAUGUGCUCUACGAUUUGAAUUCUUCUGAUUUUGAUUUCUUUUUUAUGUCCUGUGAGUUAUUAAAUUCCAAUUCUGUGAUUGGUCUCAAAUUGAAGCAUUGCUAUAAGGAUUGAUUAAGUGAUAAUUAUUACAUUGUAAAAAAUAUUGCGUCCAUUUUAUGGUAAAUAGGAUGUAUGGGUUACCUAGCUGAGGUACUCCAAUGGAGGCUAAUAUGCAACUUCCAUUGGCAGAACUAAUGAACUUAUACAUUUAAAUUUAUUGUUGUUUUACCCAAGUGAAAGUAUUCUUGGUUCAUUUUGCAGAUGGUAGGAGAUUUCUUUGAUGAGCUGAAGUCAAAAAGUAUUCUUGGUUCAAGAAGUAAAAGCUAUGCUGGCAUGGAGUAUUCCUUCAUUUGGGUUCCCUAAUGACAUUCAAUAUAUUGGAGGAGGCUAUUGCGCUAUUGGCAAUUGAUGAUACAAAACAUCGUAUGUUGUCUUCUCUCUCAUUUUUUUUCAUUUUUACUGAUGCUCGAGGGUAGGGUGCUUUACUAUUUGUAAUACAAAAAUCAUACAUAAGUACAACAUUUUUAGAAUGUUAUGGGGUUCAAAUGACUGCUACGAAAAUGAGAAGGAAAAAAAGUGAUUAGGUUCGAGAAGAUCUGGUUAUUGCUCAUCCAUCAUUCUUAUAAUUUCGAGUUUAAAUAUGGUGUC